rnacentral:rRNA from 1 species
ACGGAAGGCAGCAGUGGGGAAUAUUGCACAAUGGGGGAAACCCUGAUGCAGCGACGCCGCGUGAGUGAAGAAGUAUUUCGGUAUGUAAAGCUCUAUCAGCAGGGAAGAAAAUGACGGUACCUGACUAAGAAGCCCCGGCUAACUACGUGCCAGCAGCCGCGGUAAUACGUAGGGGGCAAGCGUUAUCCGGAUUUACUGGGUGUAAAGGGUGCGUAGGCGGCAUGGCAAGUCAGAAGUGAAAUCCCAGGGCUCAACCCUGGAACUGCUUUUGAAACUGUCAGGCUAGAGUACAGGAGAGGUAAGCGGAAUUCCUAGUGUAGCGGUGAAAUGCGUAGAUAUUAGGAGGAACACCAGUGGCGAAGGCGGCUUACUGGACGGACACUGACGCUGAGGCUCGAAAGCGUGGGGAGCAAACAGGAUUAGAUACCCUGGUA